AUUGAACGCUGGCGGCACGCCUAACACAUGCAAGUCGAGCGGCAGCAUGCUUAGUAGCAAUACUAAGUGAUGGCGAGCGGCGGUCGGGUGAGGAACACGUAGGAACCUGCCCAAGAGAGGGGGAUAACUAAGGGAAACUUUAGCUAAUACCGCAUAAUCUCUGAGGAGAAAAGUUGCCCGCAAGGGUAGCGCUUUUGGAGGGGCCUGCGUCCGAGUAGUUAGUUGGUGAGGUAAUGGCUCACCAAGACGAUGAUCGGUAACUGGUCUGAGAGGACGACCAGUCCCACUGGGACUGACACACGGCCCAGACUCCCACGGGAGGCAGCAGUGGGGGAUCUUGGACAAUGGGCGCAACCCUGAUCCAGCGAUGCCGCGUGGGUGAAGAAGGCCUUCGGGUUGUAAAGCCCUUUAGGCUGGGAAGAAGAGUGCGGGGUGAAUAAUCCUGUACUUUGACGGUACCAGCAGAAUAAGCACCGGCAAACUCUGUGCCAGCCGCCGCAGUAA
rnacentral:rRNA from 1 species